CGCGGAUCGAAACGGUAUUGAACUUGCCAGCCUAUCGACCAACGCAUCAAUCGGAAUCGCGAAACAAUACGAAUGGAGAAAAGGUAAGAUUUUGAAACGAGGCGAUACAGAGAUAAUGAUAAGGACGAUACGACAGAACGUUCCGACGUAUUCGUUAGGAAAAUGUGAAUUGCAACGAUAACGCUAGUUUGGAAUUGGAAAAUAAAUUAUAUCAAGAAGAUAUCAUCGAAUGCUUCGGUGCAUGGGUGAAAGUUCUAAAAGUGGGCGCUAUAUCGUCGUCUAUGAGAGUAUGCUCGUUACACUUUACAGAAGAAAAUUAUAAAGUAUAUAAUUAUAAAAUUUCAGUGGACUUGUAAAGAUUUCAGGUUCUACGUAUAAUUUAAUUAAUGAAAUAAAAAUAGAGGGCCGGUAAUCUGCUGAUAAAAAUUUUCCAGUCCGCCUUCGUUUUAUUCUAUAAAAUAAAUAUUAUUGUAAUAAUAGGUAAAUAUUAAUUGUACAUAAAAUUUAUGAUUUUUAGGAAAUCAACAACCAACAACCUCCCAAGCUAUUCAAUUGAUACAGAGCCUAGUACAUCAAUAGUUGUUCAAGCUACUGAAUGAGGGAAAAGAUACUGAAUAUCUCUCAAAAGUUCUCAAAGCACAUAACUCUCAGAAACACUUGACGAGGUUCGAGCGUAACAUACCUAAUGAAGAUUUUAAUGAAGACAAUCGAUAAAAUCUUUACUUUGGGGUGUAGCGCACAUGAAUUUACAAAUUUCGUGCAUAGAAAUUCGUAUUAUUUUUGCAAUUAAAAAAUUGUAAAAUGUGUCAUUUUUAAAUCGUUAAAAUCAGUCGAUUUAAAUGAAUGAAUAAAGAGACCAAAGGACCUGUCCUCAGUAGUUUGCCAUCUUAGAGGCAAGAGGAUUGAAAUCUAAGCCACGUCUCCAUUAAGAUUGUCACUUUAAAAAAUUCUUUUAAAAAUUAUAAAUAUAAAUAUCGUUGAACGUAUUGAAACUAUGGAAAUUAUAAAAUAUAAAACGUUAAAUUUUUAGAUGAAAAUUAUUCAAUUGUAUAUUCUAUUGCUUUCCAGUUUCAGGUUCCUGGUGACUUCUGGCACAUGGCAGACUGAAGAGUUCGUCUUUGAAUUAACCAAAGACCAGAAACAACGGCUUAAACAAUAUAUCGGCAUAUGAGACCAAGACCGGCGAGUUUAGCUAACAAAUCACACUGGUUGGCAGCAAACCACCUAUUUGACGGUGGCUGAUUGUUCCGAAGACAAUAUCUCUUGACAAGUUUCAUGUAGUCAUACAAUUGGCUAUGGAUUGGAAAAACUACCAUCUGCACAUUUUUGCAAAGGGGAAUUUGUAAUACGGCGAUGUAUCAACAGAGGAUUUUUUUAAAAAUGCUUCUUAGUACAGAAGGGGAUAAAGUAAAUUAUGUAUAUGACUUGGGGCUAAUUGGGAUCAUGUGAUUCAUUAUCCGAUCAGGUAUUGUCGCAUGUUCCGAUAUGCAUCAAGAGGAAAAAGAUGUGUCCGUCUGAAGAUUCAGGUGGACUUUGGGGGUAUUACGAAAAGCUUGAAAACGUCCGUGAUGUUAACAAUCCAGAGCGAGAAGAGUUACUCGACUGACUGAUGCGCGAUAUAGAGGAGCGAAAAUAUGACCUUAAAGCAAUUAAUCUGCGUUUGGCUAAUCUUUAUUCCUAAAUGGAUAGUCAGUCAAGGGAAAAUCUCUCAGGAUGACUUCAUUGGCGAUCCGAUUAAAAUUGACGGUGGUUUUUGAUAAAUCAAGAAGUCAUAUUGUCAUGCAAGGAAAUAACCAUAAUCUAUCACGAUAAGGUCAAUAAAAAAUAUUUUUGAAUAUUUUCUAAACAGAAUUACCUAAAUUAACAUGAAUCUAAUUUAACUUGAACAAAUACGAAACGCGUGAUUAGAAAUAUUUAUUGGAUAUAUAUAUUAUUCACUGAUAUUCAAUUAUAGCGCCUAUCUAUUUCAUCAACUUUGUAAAUAUGCAUAUACCCACAUGAACAUCACCUUAACGAUAAUUCCGUUUUAUUAACGUACAUAAAUUAUACAAUACACAUAAAUUUCCAAUCUAAAUCAUGUGCAAGUAUUAUUUUAAUUCUUUGUAAAGAAUAUGUUAUGCAAUUAAAAUGCAUUUAGCCCCUAUUAUAUAUCUAAAAUAAAACAUUAAGGUUGGACAACAGCAAUAGUUGCAAUAAAAAUAAUCCAUAUCAAAUAUCAAUUAGAAAUCGUAAAAACUUAUUGUACCUUUAUGAGCCAGUUACACAAAUUUCAUAAUACCGAAUAUUAUAAUUUCUUGUUUUGCGAUCUCCUGCUGAUACGUUGGGACGCUAAAAUCGAAUUAUAAUUACAUACAAAUAUAUAUCUAUAAAAGAAAAUAUAUACAUAAUAUCAAAUUAACAAAAGCUAAAAUAAAAUUAUUUAAUUACA